UACGUAGGGUGCGAGCGUUGUCCGGAAUUAUUGGGCGUAAAGGGCUCGUAGGCGGUCUGUCGCGUCGGGCGUGAAAACUCAGGGCUUAACCCUGAGCCUGCUCCCGAUACGGGCAGACUAGAGGUAUGCAGGGGAGAACGGGAUUCCUGGUGUAGCGGUGAAAUGCGCAGAUAUCAGGAGGAACACCGGUGGCGAAGGCGGUUCUCUGGGCAUUACCUGACGCUGAGGAGCGAAAGUGUGGGGAGCGAACAGG
rnacentral:rRNA from 1 species